AGCGAACGCUGGCGGCAGGCCUAACACAUGCAAGUCGAACGAAGUCUUCGGACUUAGUGGCGGACGGGUGAGUAACACGUGGGAACGUGCCUUUAGGUUCGGAAUAACUCAGGGAAACUUGUGCUAAUACCGAAUGUGCCCUUCGGGGGAAAGAUUUAUCGCCUUUAGAGCGGCCCGCGUCUGAUUAGCUAGUUGGUGAGGUAAAGGCUCACCAAGGCUACGAUCAGUAGCUGGUCUGAGAGGAUGACCAGCCACAUUGGGACUGAGACGCGGCCCAAACGCCCACGGGAGGCAGCAGUGGGGAAUCUUGCGCAAUGGGCGAAAGCCUGACGCAGCCAUGCCGCGUGGAUGAUGAAGGUCUUAGGAACGUAAAAUCCUUUCACCGGUGAAGAUAAUGACUGUAGCCGGAGAAGAAGCCCCGGCUAACUUCGUGCCAGCCGCCGCCGUAAUAC
rnacentral:rRNA from 1 species